GGAGAGAUGGCUUAGUGGUUAAGAGCACUGACUGCUCUUCCAGAGGUCCUAGAGUUCAAUUCCUAGCAACCACA
rnacentral:tRNA from 1 species